GAGGUUCCCAGGCUAGGGGUCUAAUCAGAGCUGUAGCUGCAGGCCUAUGCCACAGCAACGCCAGAUCUGAGCUGCAUCUACAACCUACACCGCAGCUCAUGGCAAGGCCAGAUCCUUAACCCACUGAGCAAGGCCAGGGAUCGAACCUGCAACCUCAUGGUUCCUAGUCGGAUUUGUUUCUGCUGUGCCAUGACAGGAACUCCAAUUCGUGCCAUAUUUUAGACCCCACAUAUAAGUGAUAUAUGGCCUUUGUCUUUCUCUUUCCAACUUACUUCCCUUAGUAUGAGAAUCUCUAGUUCUAUCCAUCCAUAGAUAAUCUGGCCUCUCUCUAACUCUCCAGCCUCACCUCACUAGUUGUCAUUCAUCCAUUUAUUCUAUAACUCAUUGAUCAUUUCAUUCAUUUAGCCAUUACAGGUUGAGCAUGGCUGUGGGAUCUGAGUAACAUCACCCAGGCUAAAAUUACUAUCUUCUUGUAAUUUAUAUUCUCUCACUACCCACAAGUGAUCUGGCAAUGAGGAACAAAUAAAAAACAAGAUUAAAAAGGAAAAUUAUAAUACAUUAAAUGUUGAUAAAGGCAAACGGUAUGUGUAUGGAAGAGGGCAGUGAAUGGAGACUUCACUGAGAAGCUGACAUUUGAGUACAGACUCGCUGAAGAGGGAGAAAACUAUGUAGGUGUCUAAAGUCUUUCAAACUAUACUCUACUGUUCCUCUCUUAAGGGUAUUUCAGAUAUUAUAACCAUCACUGAGAUUCCUGAAAAGAUUAUUUUUAAACUCUUUUUAUCUAUAAAAAACAUUAUAUACAGAAAAGUAUGGAAUCUUAAGUAAAAAGACUAAUGCAUUAUCACAAUGAAUGCACCUGUACAAUUACCCAAACCAAGAAGCAGAACAUUUCCGGAACCCGAAAGUCAUCAUCUUGCCACUUCCCAAUUAACUAUUCCCUAUUCUCCCAAAGAUAAAUCCUAUCCUGACUUCUAAUUAUAGACUAGUUUUUACUGAUCCUGGACUUUAUAUUCAUGAAAACAUAAAACAUAUUAUUUUGAAUCCAUGUCUUUCAUUCAACAUUCUAUUGCUUGAAGUUCAUUCAUUUGCAUUACCAUAGAGGUUUUCAUUGCAGUAAUAUACAACAAUUUAUGCAUGCAUUCUAGUGCUGAUAGACAUCUGGGUUGCUCCAAUUUUUACCUAUUACAAAUAAUACUGCUAUGAAUAUUCCUGUAUAUAUCUCUGGUGCACAAACAUACAUUUGGGGAAGGGUAUACAUAUAGCUGUGAGUCACACAGUGUUCAUACACCGAGCUUAAAUAGAUGCUGCCAAACUUUUCCUAGUAGUUGUGCCAGUUUACACUGAUACCAGCAGUGUAUUAGUUUUGACAGAUCCAAUUCUUAAGUGGCAGGUUCAUUUUGAAAAUAUUUUUUACAAAUUGGUCACACAUUUUUAUUUAAUAAAUUCUUUUAAAAUCAAAUAUUUUGCUAAUCUUUCUUUUCCAAGAAAGAAAGUCCCAGAGGUUUACUACUAGGGAAGUUAACUUCUUUAUGUACUAGCAAUGCCCAUAAUAAACAACAAAGUGACACCUAUAUCCAUCUGUGUAUUCUAAAUGUAUCUUAUACCUCCAAUUUUCUAUUAUUCAAAAUUAUAAUUUUUUCUCUUCUUACAUCCCUUUGUAAGAAAAUGUUUCUGUGAUUCUGGAGUGACUAACAUCGUCCAUCCCCAAAUCUAGAAAAGAUUUAAUGGGUUAGUCACUUAUUCCUCUAGGAAACUACUCUCCUGCUGCUAAAGGUAAUGAUCUAUGCACAAUACAACAACUCUAGGGAAAAAAAAACAGAUAGAUAAAACAAACCAGGAUAUAUCAGCAUGAUUGCCAACUAUAUUUAAUACUUUUAUUUUUUAUUCUCCAUGACAAACCAUUAGAAUAACUAAUUUUAUCCACAAAUGUCAGGGGGCAAAAAAAACAAUCUCAAUCAUAAGAGUUUUGAAAUUAUUCCAUUUUCUAAGAAACAAGUCUUUUCAUCAAGCUUUGGUAUAUUGUUAACAUUUUUACAGUAGCACUGUGAUAACAAGCACUGAAUUAUCUAAAACAGUUCUUCUUAAAGGCAAACCAAUUCAGAAAUUUUUAACAACUAGGUAGCCAAGCUGAUAAAUCUAUAGAGAGAUGAGAUUCAAAGAUGUUAUCAGUAUUCAGAAAGCAAAUCAAAUAUAUUAUUUCAAUAUUUCUAGAAAAUAUAAGAAGCCACAUAAAAUAGCAAUGUUAACAACAAAUAAAAUAAUGAUAAGCAUUUGUUGUGCUUGGUGUCAUUCAUCUAAAAUUUCACCAAGCACAUAUUAUGUGCAAGCCCAAAAAUGUCCACUGAGCUCAUACUUUGUUGAAAUAUUUUAAAAGUAUCAUGAACUUGAAAGGUCAUCUGAUUUCCACAAUUUAGUUCUUAAAUUUUAUUUAACAAAUAAUUUUACAUUGUGUUUAUUAUGUGCUAAGCACUGCACUAAUUGCUUUGCAAAUAUUAGCUCAAUUCUUAAAAUAAUUGCAGAUAUAUAGUCAGAAUUUGAACUCAGCCAGUAGUCUAACUCUAGUCCAUGCGCCUAACUACUCAAAUAAAUGGGAACACCUAUAAAAAUAAAGCCAAAAUAAAUAGUCUCUUUUUUCUUUUUUAAUAAAUCUGAGCUAUACUUGACUUUUUGAUUAUUUACUUAAGGUGAGAAAAAUAUACAUGAAGACUCAAAGGCUAGAAGUACAGUUCUUUGAUAUGUACAUAUUCAGCGUGUUUAAAAGAGUUAUGUCAUUAAGUAUGUCAAUUUUAUAAAUAUAUUAAGAGAGAAUUAAAAAAGAGAAUAUAUGAAAAUACACCCAUAUUUGGACAAUAUGAAGCUUCUUUUAAAUAGUUUAGAAGUACAAAACCCAGAGAGAAUAAAAAUAGCUUUAACUUGUUCUCUAAUUAUUCUUUAAUCAAGGAUGCAAUUUGAAUCAAGUUUUUAUCUGGCCAUUUAUCUAGUGGAUUCUAAGCAUACUAUCUGAGAAUACCAACAGGCAGUUUCACCACAUUCCUCAGGAGGGAAAGAGGAAAUAAAAGAACUAUAAGGUCACUCAAUCAGUUUCCUGCUCAGGCAUCUUACUUUCCCUAUAUUUCCCAGGGCUUUGCAGAGUUACAACAGAAUUAGCCCUCUCUAGAAUGAACCCUCUCUUCUCAGUAUAUAGAACAUUUCUGGCAAAAAUGAAAAUAUUUUGACAUUUUUGUGUGUUUUGGUUUUUAAAUUGAGAGAUAACUGACAUAUAAUAUUGUCUUCAUGGUAGGUGUACAACAUAAUGAUUCAAUAUAUGUAUGUAUUACGAAAUGAUUAUCACAUGUUUAGUUAACAUCCAUUGCCCCACAGUUGCAAUUCUUUUGCUUGUGAUGAGAACUUUUAAGAUUUACUCUCUUAGCAACUUUCAAAUAUAAAGUACAGUAUUGUUAAUUAUACUCAACAUGCUAUACAGUAUAUCCCUGAAGUUUACUUUUUUAAAGGAAAGAUUUACCUACAUGAAGCAAAAGAAAGAAAUCUUUGCUUUCCUUGUCUGAUUAGAUUUCCACUCAUAAUGGCCCUGCUUCCUCUGACCAGUUUCUCUCUUAACAUAGGGAGAUGUAAAUCAAACAUCCAGAUCAUCACAUAUGACCAGACAACCCAAAGAAUGUCUGGGGGGUGGAGUUCUACAGCUAUACAAGGUACUUCACUUCCAGUUCUCUCUACUCCAUUCCAGUUUCUUAAAAGUUGUAAGAGUAGUGACUACAAGAGAAGUAAUAUUGGUACCAGAGUAUAUUUUGUACAUAUUCAAAAAUGUUUCUUUCUCCAGCAAGACAACAGCAUCUGAAAUUUCCAGUAGAUUAAGUUCUUGAGUUCUUGAGUAUCUAGAUAACACCACAAAAAUGAUGUAACGAUAAUGCCUUUCAUAUCUAUAACACUACACAUUUAAUCCUAGAAAUAAACCUACAUUUCUACCAUUCCUUAUAAGAAAAAAUGAGACUCAGAGAAGCCACUAUACAUGGCCAAGAUCAUACAGCUUGACUGUGCUAACUCUCAAAUCCUCAAAUAAGUCUAGUAUAUGUAUACUGUCUCAGCUCCCAAGUAGGCUGAAUGGAAAAAAAUAGAUGAUUGUCUAUCAACUUAAAAUAAUAGAUUAAUUUCUCAGAAAACAACAUACGACAGAACUUUAAGGGAAGAGGAGACAAUAAGUGCAUUUUAAAUGUAAAGAAAGCUGAUCUUUGGGAGAAAAGUAGCUUGAUGCCCUGCCCACAGUUAGAAAAGGCUCUGAGAGACAUCACUGAUGAGGUAUAGUCUGGGCAGUCAAUGAAGGGACAAGCCCAGGAGAGGCACAUUAUAUAGAUAAGUAGCUUUCACAGCUUAAACUAGGCCUGUACUGGUAGUUUUAUCACCUGUAGUAUAAGCUUAGUUGGUACUUUUACUUUCUACCAAGCAGAGGAGCUUGUUUCUUUUCCUUCACAACAUACCAAAAAAAAAAA
rnacentral:lncRNA from 1 species